rnacentral:rRNA from 1 species
CUAAGUGGCGGACGGGUGAGUAAUGUAUAGUUAAUCUGCCCUUUAGAGGGGGAUAACAGUUGGAAACGACUGCUAAUACCCCAUACUCCUUUUGCAUUAAUUGUAAUUGGGAAACGUUUUUUCGCUAAAGGAUGAGACUAUAUGGUAUCAGGUAGUUGGUGGGGUAAGAGCCCACCAAGCCAAUGACGCCUAGCUGGUCUGAGAGGAUGAUCAGCCACACUGGAACUGAGACACGGUCCAG